CUGACGAGUGGCGGACGGGUGAGUAAUGUCUGGGAAACUGCCUGAUGGAGGGGGAUAACUACUGGAAACGGUAGCUAAUACCGCAUAACGUCGCAAGACCAAAGAGGGGGACCUUCGGGCCUCUUGCCAUCGGAUGUGCCCAGAUGGGAUUAGCUAGUAGGUGGGGUAACGGCUCACCUAGGCGACGAUCCCUAGCUGGUCUGAGAGGAUGACCAGCCACACUGGAACUGAGACACGGUCCAGACUCCUACGGGAGGCAGCAGUGGGGAAUAUUGCACAAUGGGCGCAAGCCUGAUGCAGCCAUGCCGCGUGUAUGAAGAAGGCCUUCGGGUUGUAAAGUACUUUCAGCGGGGAGGAAGGCGAUAAGGUUAAUAACCUUGUCGAUUGACGUUACCCGCAGAAGAAGCACCGGCUAACUCCGUGCCAGCAGCCGCGGUAAUACGGAGGGUGCAAGCGUUAAUCGGAAUUACUGGGCGUAAAGCGCACGCAGGCGGUCUGUCAAGUCGGAUGUGAAAUCCCCGGGCUCAACCUGGGAACUGCAUUCGAAACUGGCAGGCUAGAGUCUUGUAGAGGGGGGUAGAAUUCCAGGUGUAGCGGUGAAAUGCGUAGAGAUCUGGAGGAAUACCGGUGGCGAAGGCGGCCCCCUGGACAAAGACUGACGCUCAGGUGCGAAAGCGUGGGGAGCAAACAAGGAUUAGAUACCCUGGUAGUCCCACGCCGUAAACCGAUGUCGACUUGGAGGGUUGUGCCCCUUGAGGCGUGGCUUCCGGAGCUAACGCGUUUAAGUCGACCGCCUUGGGGAUACGGCCGCAAGGUUAAAACUCAAAUUGAAUUUGACGGGGGGCCCGCCCAAAGCGGUGGGAGCNUGGUGG
rnacentral:rRNA from 1 species